CUAUUAUCUUAUCUGUUAAAUAGAUAUAUACAUAGUGAUCUCUUCUCUUCGAUCACAAAAUCUUGUUCCAAAGGGAAACAGACGUUCAUCAGUUAUGGCCUAAGUGAUAACUAACGAAACAAAUUUUAUGGUGGCUGUUAAAUUGAACCAGAAGAGUCCCAAUUGUAAAUCAAAAUGUGGCUGAAAAGUCAAUUCUUCACGGGAUAUUUCUACUCAAGCAAAGACACAAAAAGGGUUACAGAUCUUUCAAUAACUCAUUGUCCGUCACCUGUCUAGACGAUACCUCCAUAAAUCUUGUAAAAUUUUUUUAAGUUCUUAGAUUGUUUCACAAUUACGAUAGUAUAAAAUUAUUAAUGUAUUACUUAUUAAAGUUCCUAUUAUGUAACAUAUUAAUAUAGCUUAGAGGAUUUUGAAAAUUGAUAUUAUUGAAUAUGAUGAUGCGGGCCAAGCGAGCCCAAGACUUAUGUUAGUUGAAAAUUAUUGACA